rnacentral:lncRNA from 1 species
AAGUACUGACUUGAUUUGUUUAUAUAAAAGUCUAUGUCAGAUCUUUUGUGUGUAAAAUAUUGUAACCCUUAUAUAGCGUGUCUAAACACAAUUGGUUCUUGCAUUUUUCUCUCUCUCAAUAGUGAUGUGUUUCCUUGUAAUCAUGUGUGUUGGACAAGAUGAGGCAAUCUCCAUGUGGAAUUUCUUUAGCAAUUUACCUAUGUACUUAAACUACUUAAGAUACAUACCACUUGCAUCUUUUUGAUCCUCUAUUCCCAACAAAUAGCGAAAAACACUUAGA